rnacentral:rRNA from 1 species
CGUCUAUAUACGUAUAGCAUAUCAAUAAGCGGAGGAAAAGAAACUAACAAGGAUUCCCUCAGUAACGGCGAGUGAAGCGGGAAGAGCUCAAAUUUGUAAUCUUCAAGGUUCUACCUUGACGAAUUGUAGUUUAAAGAAGUGUUUUCUGUUAGAGGAGUAGCAAAAGUUCCUUGGAAUGGGACAUCAUAGAGGGUGAGAAUCCCGUAUUUGGUUAUUCUUUCUAGCUUUGUGAUACACUUUCAAAGAGUCGGAUUGUUUGGGAAUGCAGUCCAAAAUGGGUGGUAAAUUUCAUCUAAAGCUAAAUAUUGGCGAGGACCGAUAGCGAACAAGUACCGUGAGGGAAAGAUGAAAAGAACUUUGAAAAGAGAGUUAAACAGUACGUGAAAUUGUCAAAAGGGAAGCGUUUGACACCAGUGUUGUUUUUCCGAAAAUCAAUUAAGAAUGGCUUGAUUUUGUGUUGUAUUGACCUUAUCAGCUUUCUUCACUCUUUUUCGAGUCUUUCUUAAUGCACUUUUCGGUUAACAAGUCAACAUCAAUUUCUUUUGUUGUAAAAGGGUAUUUGGAAGGUGGCUUUCUUUUCGGAGAAAGUGUUUAUAGCCUUAUACCUCUACAAUCGGAGAGAUUGAGGUCUGCAGCGUAGAUCCUUCGGGGCUAGAUACACUUGUGCUAAGUUAUAGCUUUUCAUAGACAACUUGUUGACUAUGUUUAGUCAUGUAGCUUACCCGCUUGUGCUAUUUUACCUACGCUUAGGAUGUUGAGUCAUCACACAUCUCU